UUCCUUAUUAAUAAAACAAUAAAAAUAAAACAAUAAAACAAAUCUACAUGACAGCUUGGGAUUUCUGUCCAGCUGCAAAUGCCACUAGUGCAAAACGAACCACAUCUACGGUAUGUAGUUUUCUACAGUGCCUUAAUGGUAAGAAAUUAGACUACCUAAUUCUAUAACUGCAAAAUGCAUUGCACAGACCCCUAACAGUAUAUUCCUAAACAGAGGGAAAAAAGUAGAAAUUAUUAUAUAUGGGAAGUUAAUUAUCAACACAAACAACUAUGUUUUUUAACUUCUCAGUGCUAUUUUGACUACUUCGAGAUAGGAAUCUCCCUCCAAAGUUAGCAGUCAUUGAAUUAGCCACGAGAUGGAGCCCAAAGGACCUGUGAGCCAGUAGUUAGCAUUGCCCUCUGGAAUCAUAACAAAAUAUCGGUGUCUUUAUUAUAUUGAAGAACACUUUACAGGAUGCUUAAGCUACAGACAAGGUACUCUUCAUUGUAAAUCCACUCCUGCCUAAAGAUAUUUUUUUAUUUAUUACCAUGGUUAUACAUUGGUAGGCUUUGACUUCCCCUGUUGAAACAGCCAAACCUAGGCAUUUUCAAGGAAUAUUAAUGAAUGUGGAAUAUUCAUGAAAUAUAGAAAAUGGUCUGGAAAAUCGACAUCAAUUAGCUGAAAUUUGGUUGACCUCUGUUUACCUUGCCUCAGCUAUGUUAGAGUAAUGCACAUUUUGCAUGGUUAUGUGAGACUUAAUUCUCAAAUACACUUCUGUUAUGUGAUGGCCAACUCUUAAUGGAUCGGGCUCCUGUACUUUCAUGUUUCAGAUAUUUCAGUUAGAAUAAAACAUGACUAGGACACACUUUUCAGAGUACCCAUUCAAUGAAAGUAGGAAGUAGUCAAAAGAAUGAUGAGUGCACUGCACUCAAGACCAAUCCAUAUGCUGCAUUUUCCCUGAAUUCAUAAAUUUAAAGCACUUUUUAGAUCCUCAGAUGAGCUAACAAGAGGUUUUACCUCAUACAAAUUUAGAUAUCUAAAGUUAGUCAUAUGAGUUGAAGCUAAUAACUUUCAUCUCAUUUUAAAGUUAUUGGAGAAAAGUAAUCAUCUUCAGAGAGUCAUUCAUCUGUCUGUUUAGAUGUUUAUCAGGAUGCAAAGAAUUGCCCCUUGGAGAUACCCAUGUUUCUGACUUGGCCAAAACAAAGUAUAGAGUUUAGAUCUAGUAAAAUAAAUAAAUAAAAUAAAAUAAAAUAAAAUAAAAUACUGCAAUAAACAUCAUGAUAGUUUCUUGUUUGUGACUUCAACAACCUUCUUCAAAACUUUAAUUUUUCUUUUUUAAGAACCUAACAUCAAAAGAGAAGAAAGGUGAGCAAAAGUAGGCAGUCAUUUAUUGGUCUUAAUAGUAGAUUGAAUAUCUACGGUUAUUGUACUUAGACAUAGACCUAAUGCAAAUAUUUAUAUUUAGCAUUAAGCUGCAAAAUCCAUGUUUAGCAUCCUAACACUUUGUUUUUGUUGUAUUCAUUAUUAAGAUAAGGCACAUAAAACUAAUGAUGCUACCUUACAUUGAUUUGUUUAUUUUUAAAAUACCCACAAUUUUACCUUCAGCAGAAUUUAAUCUAAACCCCGCCAUUAUUGACACCUUUGUAAUCCCUUUAAGGGAAGAGCACAUGAAAACAUCAGAAGCUGAGGAUGAUAUUGAGAGGAAGCUCUUCAGGUCUUUCACCACACGUGCCUAAAGAUGAAAUGCAUUAAUACAGCAUAUGUACCUCAUCUUCAUUUGACUGAAAUUUUAUUCUUUCCAGCUCCGUUGAUGGAAGAUUUGACCUCCUGGGAUUUAAAGACUUAUAGUACUUUAAAGGCAUUAACUUUUAGUGCUAUCAUAUGAGAUUGCUGUUUCAACAAGACUUACAUUUCCCAGUGCAUUUCUAUUGUUUAACUGAUAAACUGGGAAACAGAGAAAGAUUGGGAUCAUUAGUGAUGCUCCCUACAGGCAUGCAUCUCAGAUUCAAGUUGAAGCAAUUCCUCUCAUUAAAAAUCAUUUUAAAAUGUU